GACGAACACUGGCGGCGUGCCUAAUACAUGCAAGUCGAACGGUCUUUUCUAUGGAAGCUUGCUUCCACUGAGAAGAUGGUGGCGAACGGGUGAGUAACACGUGGGUAACCUGCCCAUAAGAGGGGGAUAACAUCCGGAAACGGGUGCUAAUACCGCAUAGUUUUCUUGAUCGCAUGAUCGGGAAAGGAAAGACGGCCUUUGUGCUGUCGCUUAUGGAUGGACCCGCGGCGUAUUAGUUAGUUGGUGAGGUAAUGGCUCACCAAGACGAUGAUACGUAGCCGACCUGAGAGGGUGAUCGGCCACAUUGGAACUGAGACACGGCCCAAACUCCUACGGGAGGCAGCAGUAGGGAAUCUUCCGCAAUGGACGAGAGUCUGACGGAGCAACGCCGCGUGAGUGAAGAAGGUUUUCGGAUCGUAAAACUCUGUUGUCAGAGAAGAACAAGUUGGAGAGUAACUGCUCCAGCCUUGACGGUAUCUGACCAGAAAGCCACGGCUAACUACGUGCCAGCAGCCGCAGUAAAAC
rnacentral:rRNA from 1 species